rnacentral:rRNA from 1 species
UGCCUCAGUAACGGCGAGUGAAGCGGCAACAGCUCAAAUUUGAAAUCUGGCCCUAGGCCCGAGUUGUAAUUUGCAGAGGAUGCUUUUGGUGCGGUGCCUUCCAAGUUCCCUAGAACGGGACGCCAGAGAGGGUGAGAGCCCCGUACAGUUGGACACCAAGCCUUUGUAAAGCUCCUUCGACGAGUCGAGUAGUUUGGGAAUGCUGCUCAAAAUGGGAGGUAUAUUUCUUCUAAAGCUAAAUACCGGCCAGAGACCGAUAGCGCACAAGUAGAGUGAUCGAAAGAUGAAAAGCACUUUGAAAAGAGGGUUAAACAGCACGUGAAAUUGUUAAAAGGGAAGCGCUUGUGACCAGACUUGCGUCCGGUGAAUCACCCAGCUCUCGCGGCUGGGGCACUUCGCCGGCUCAGGCCAGCAUCAGCUCGCUGUCGGGGACAAAAGCUUCAGGAACGUAGCUCUCUUCGGGGAGUGUUAUAGCCUGUUGCACAAUACCCUUCGGCGGGCUGAGGUACGCGCUCCGCAAGGAUGCUGGCAUAAUGGUCAUCAGCGACCCGUCUUGAAACACGGACCAAGGAGUCAACCUUAUGUGCGAGUGUUCGGGUGUCAAACCCCUACGCGUAAUGAAAGUGAACGCAGGUGAGAGCUUCGGCGCAUCAUCGACCGAUCCUGAUGUUCUCGGAUGGAUUUGAGUAAGAGCAUAUAGGGUUGGACCCGAAAGAAGGUGAACUAUGCGUGUAUAGGGUGAAGCCAGAGGAAACUCUGGUGGAGGCUCGCAGCGGUUCUGACGUGCAAAUCGAUCGUCAAAUAUGCGCAUGGGGGCGAAAGACUAAUCGAACCUUCUAGUAGCUGGUUUCCGCCGAAGUUUCCCUCAGGAUAGCAGUGUUGAACUCAGUUUUAUGAGGUAAAGCGAAUGAUUAGGGACUCGGGGGCGCUAUAUUGCCUUCAUCCAUUCUCAAACUUUAAAUAUGUAAGAAGCCCUUGUUGCUUAAUUGAACGUGGGCAUUCGAAUGUAUCAACACUAGUGGGCCAUUUUUGGUAAGCAGAACUGGCGAUGCGGGAUGAACCGAACGCGAGGUUAAGGUGCCAGAGUAGACGCUCAUCAGACACCACAAAAGGUGUUAGUACAUCUUGACAGCAGGACGGUGGCCAUGGAAGUCGGAAUCCGCUAAGGACUGUGUAACAACUCACCUGCCGAAUGUACUAGCCCUGAAAAUGGAUGGCGCUCAAGCGUCUCACCCAUACCUCGCCCUCAGUGUAGAAACGAUGCGCUGAGGAGUAGGCGGACGUGGAGGUCGUGA